AAUGGGCGGAAGCCUGAUCCAGCCAUGCCGCGUGAGUGAAGAAGGCCUUCGGGUUGUAAAGCUCUUUCGGCGGGGAAGAAAUUGCUUGGGUUAAUACCCUGAGUAGAUGACGGUACCCGAAUAAGAAGCACCGGCUAACUACGUGCCAGCAGCCGCGGUAAUACGUAGGGUGCGAGCGUUAAUCGGAAUUACUGGGCGUAAAGCGUGCGCAGGCGGUUUUGUAAGUCAGAUGUGAAAUCCCCGGGCUCAACCUGGGAACUGCAUUUGAGACUGCAAGACUGGAGUUUGGCAGAGGGGGGUGGAAUUCCACGUGUAGCAGUGAAAUGCGUAGAGAUGUGGAGGAACACCGAUGGCGAAGGCAGCCCCCUGGGCCAAUACUGACGCUCAUGCACGAAAGCGUGGGGAGCAAA
rnacentral:rRNA from 1 species